CCUACGGGAGGCAGCAGUGAGGAAUAUUGGUCAAUGGGCGCGAGCCUGACCCAGCAACGUAGCGUGAAUGAUGACUGCCCUACGGGUGGUAAGCUUCUUUUAUAAAGGUGUAAAGUGAGACACUAGUGCCUUUUUGUAUGUACUUUAUGAACAAGGCUCCGCUAACUCCGUGCCGACAGCGGCGGUCAUACGGAGGAUUCACGCGUUAUCCGGAUUGCGUGGGUUUAAAGGGAGCGUAGAUGGGUUAUUAAGUUAGUGGUGAAAGUCUGCGGCUCAACCGUAACAGUGCAAUUGAUACUGGCAGACUUGAGUACAGUUGAGGUAGGCGGAAUUCGUGGUGUAGCGGUGAAAUGCUUAGAUAUUACGAAGAACUCCGAUUGCGAAGGCAGCUUACUAAACUGCAACUGACAUUGAUGCUCGAAAGUGUGGGUAUCAAACAGGAUUAGAUACCCGUGUAGUC
rnacentral:rRNA from 1 species